rnacentral:rRNA from 1 species
UACGUACCGUACGAACGUUAUUCGGAAUUACUGGGCUUAAAGGGUUUGUAGGCGGCUUUGUAAGUCAGGUGUGAAAUCCCUCGGCUCAACCGAGGAAUGGCGCUUGAUACUGCAAGGCUUGAGGGAGACAGGGGUAAGCGGAACUGAUGGUGGAGCGGUGAAAUGCGUUGAUAUCGGAAGGAACAUCAGUGGCGAAAGCGACUUCCUGGACCAGUACCGACGUUCAGGCACGAAAGCGUGGGGAGCAAACAGG